GUUUAACUAAAGCAAUAAACAAUUGGUUCAUCAAUCAGAGGAGGAACUGGCAUAGCAAUGCAUCAAGUUCAACCCUAGUGAAGAACAAACGUAAAAGAAGUAAUGCAGGUGAAAAGUGAGAAACAUGACCAUGACCAUCUUCUCCACCUGAUAUCAAUCAACGACGUCUCGUUACAUUUCAACUUCAACCAUGAAAUCGAACAUACUACAGAAAUUUCGCAACCCGAUUCGUAGCCCUUUGUGCAGGUGUGCAUUGGUGCAAUAUGCUGGCUAUGCAUAAGUGAUGUACAGUGCAUAAAACUUUGCAUAAUUCUUUACAGUCAUGCUUACAUCAUUAUUAUAGCUAUUUCUCCAGCAUUUUAAUCUAGAGUUCGAAUUUGCAGAAGAAAUGACAUAUAAAGCCUUCACAUUUGGCUGCA